UACGGGGGGGGCAAGCGUUGUUCGGAAUUACUGGACGUAAAGGGCUCGUAGGUGGCCAACUAAGUCAGACGUGAAAUCCCUCGGCUUAACCGGGGAACUGCGUCUGAUACUGGAUGGCUUGAGUUUGGGAGAGGGAUGCGGAAUUCCAGGUGUAGCGGUGAAAUACGUAGAUAUCUGGAGGAACACCGGUGGCGAAGGCGGCAUCCUGGACCAACACUGACACUGAGGAGCGAAAGCCAGGGGAGCAAACGGG
rnacentral:rRNA from 1 species